UACGGAGGAUGCGAGCGUUAUCCGGAUUUAUUGGGUUUAAAGGGUGCGUAGGCGGACUUUUAAGUGAGAUGUGAAAUACCCGGUCUCAACUUGGGUGCUGCAUUUCAAACUGGAAGUCUAGAGUGCAGGAGAGGAGAAUGGAAUUCCUAGUGUAGCGGUGAAAUGCGUAGAGAUUAGGAAGAACACCAGUGGCGAAGGCGAUUCUCUGGACUGUAACUGACGCUGAGGCUCGAAAGCGUGGGGAGCAAACAGGAUUAGAUACCCGCGUA
rnacentral:rRNA from 1 species